rnacentral:rRNA from 1 species
UACGAAGGGGGCUAGCGUUGUUCGGAAUUACUGGGCGUAAAGCGCGCGCAGGCGGUUCUUCAAGUCAGAGGUGAAAGCCCAGAGCUCAACUCUGGAAUGGCCUUUGAGACUAGAGAACUUGGGUACGGGAGAGGUGAGUGGAAUUCCGAGUGUAGAGGUGAAAUUCGUAGAUAUCGGGAGGAACACCUGUGGCGAAAGCGGCGCACUGGACCAUAACUGACGCUGAUGCGCGAAAGCUAGGGGAGCAAACAGG